rnacentral:lncRNA from 1 species
UGCGUUUUAGUCAGACACUUCAUACGGGCUGGUGAAGGUUUUUUGAGGUUGCUCACGCUCCCAGCCAAGGAGUCUGUGGAAAUCCUUCAAAAAGUACAAGGCAGCCUUAUGAAUGGGGAGUGAGGAGCUUAAUGACAGACGCAAGGACCCUCAACUACAUCUGAAGGAGGAGAAAGAAUUAUGAUGACCGAAUCCUGUAGAAUUCUGCUGAGGUUUACUUUUACUUUAUGCGAGGGCUAAUUAAGCUGGAUUUAUAAAUAGGUUAUUUAUUUUUGUCUUGUAAAUAGAAUUAUAGAUUGAAUAGAGCCUCUACCUCGGCCAAGGGUCUUCAAACUCUUUUUUAAAGCAGGGGAACCUUCUGUUGAAUGGAGCUGUGUGCAGAACCACAGCAUAAAAAUGGAAGCAAAAGUUCUCUGGUCAGGUUGGAAAGGAAGGCCUGGGGUCCUGCUCAGGCCUGGAGGGCACCCAUUUCCAGCGGCCAUCUGUCCCCCUGCCCCAGUCCCUGAUGUGUUCUGUGGAACCUCAGGGUUCCAAGGGACAGAGUCUGAAAGACAUUGCUCUAAAUGAAUCUGUGCUGCAUGGAAUGUAUUUUCCAGUCGCUGCCUCCAGGAUUACUGAACAUGGAGGGGGCGCUGUGGUCUCAAAUCCCAGGUGCAUUAGCAUUUCCGUUUUCAUGUAGGUUGACACAGUGUUCCCUUGUACUAGAAAAUGCCAGUGGGUGUUAGCAAAGGCCCUUUACACGCAGAACAAUGAGCCCAGAGCGAGGCGCAAGCUUCAAAGCCGUCUCUUCACUGGAAAGGGUGACGCGGCGCAAGAUUUACCCCUGAACCUCUCUGGGAGUGUGAGCUUCAUGGGCCUCAGUAGGAGGAGACGGUGGAGAAGAAAAAGACUUUACCAGGCUGUCUGCAGACACCCUUGUCCUAGAGGCCCUGGAGUGGGACAGCUGGGUGGCUCCUCGGAAGACUCCACAACCCCUUGCUGCUUUUACUGAGCCCUCUGGGCCUUCCUCCAAGCGCUGAGUAUGAUACUGCUCAGCGUGAUGCAGAGAGGAGAGAAGGGGCUUUGGACUCAGCUCAACAGACCUGAGUGAAAAUUCUGCCUCUGCGUCUCCCUAGCUACGUAGCUUUGGGACUACAGUUCCCUAAAUGAGAGACUGCUUUACCAGGAAGCCUGAGUGCCUCCCACCCAACCGUUCCUGUUGCUGGACAUGAGAGUCGAGCCCCUUGGCCUUUUUGCAGAGUGUCUGGAUACACAUACAUGGUGCCUGAGGCAUGCCCUGGGCACUUGGUAAGCCAGGCUACUCUCAUCACGCAGCCCUGCCCACCCCACCCCCCAACUGCAACCUGUAAUGUGGUUAGGAUCCGUGUCCCCACCCAAGUCUCAUUUCAAAUUGUAAUCCCCAGGGGUCAAGGGAGGGACCUGGUGGGAGGUGACUGGAUCAUGGGGGCGGUUUACCCCAUGCUGUUCUCGUGAUAGUGAGUGAGUUCUCACAAAAGCUGAUGGUUUUAUAGGGCAGUUUCCCCUGCUCUUCUCUCUCCUGCCACCUUGUGAAGAAGGUCCCUGCUUCCCCUUCUGCUAUGAUUGUAAGUUUCCUGAGGCCUCCUCAGCCAUGUGAAACUGUGACUCAAAUAAAUUUUUUUCCUUUAUAAAUGAC